rnacentral:rRNA from 1 species
UUCCGGUUGAUCCUGCCGGAGGUCACUGCUAUCGGGGUUCGAUUAGGCCAUGCGAGUCGAGAGGGUUCGGCCCUCGGCGUACUGCUCAGUAACACGUGGAUAACCUGCCCUAGGGGAGGGGAUAACCCCGGGAAACUGGGGAUAAUACCCUAUAGGUUACAGAUGCUGGAAUGCCCUGUAACCAAAAGCUCCGGCGCCCUAGGAUGGAUCUGCGGCCGAUUAGGUUGUUGUUGGGGUAACGGCCCAACAAGCCCGUAAUCGGUACGGGUUGUGGGAGCAAGAGCCCGGAGUUGGAUUCUGAGACACGAAUCCAGGCCCUACGGGGCGCAGCAGGCGCGAAACCUUUACAAUGCGGGCAACCGUGAUAAGGGAACCUCGAGUGCCUGUAAACGCAGGCUGUUCAGGUGUUUAAAACGCACCUGGAGAAAGGGCCGGGCAAGACCGGUGCCAGCCGCCGCGGUAAUACCGGCGGCUCGAGUGGUGGCCGCUUUUAUUGGGAUUAAAGCGUUCGUAGCUGGGUUGUUAAGUCUCUUGGGAAAUCUGGCGGCUUAACCGUCAGGCGUCUAAGGGAUACUGGCAAUCUUGGAACCGGGAGAGGUGAGGGGUACUUCGGGGGUAGGGGUGAAAUCCUGUAAUCCUCGAGGGACCACCUGUGGCGAAGGCGCCUCACCAGAACGGCUUCGACAGUGAGGGACGAAAGCUGGGGGAGCAAACCGGAUUAGAUACCCGGGUAGUCCCAGCCGUAAACGAUGCGCGUUAGGUGUAUCGGUGACCACGAGUUACCGAGGUGCCGAAGGGAAACCGUGAAACGCGCCGCCUGGGAAGUACGGUCGCAAGGCUGAAACUUAAAGGAAUUGGCGGUGGAGCACCACAACGGGUGGAGCCUGCGGUUUAAUUGGAUUCAACGCCGGGAAUCACUAGUGCGGCCGCCUGCAGGUCGACCAUAUGGG